UACAGAGGGUGCGAGCGUUGUUCGGAAUUACUGGGCGUAAAGCGCGCGCAGGCGGCUCUUUAAGUCUACCCGUGAAAUGCCGGAGCUCAACUCCGUGCACGCCGGGGGAUACUGGAGAGCUGGAGACAUGUAGAGGCAAGCGGAAUUCCGGGUGUAGCGGUGGAAUGCGUAGAGAUCCGGAAGAACACCGGAGGCGAAGGCGGCUUGCUGGGCAUGGUCUGACGCUGAGGCGCGAAAGCGUGGGGAGCAAACAGG
rnacentral:rRNA from 1 species